GGGCUGUUAGCUCAGUUGGUAGAGCAAGCGACUCUUAAUCGCUGGGUCGUAGGUUCGAAUCCUACACAGCCCA
rnacentral:tRNA from 1 species